CCUACGGGUGGCAGCAGUGGGGAAUAUUGCACCAUGGGGGCAACCCUGAUGCAGCGACGCCGCGUGCGUGAAGAAGUCAUUCUUUAUGUAAAGCUCUAUCAGCAGGGAAGAAAAUGACGGUACCUGAGUCAGAUUCCCCGUCUAACUCCGUUCCAGCACCCGCGGUAAUACGUAGGGGGCAACCGUUAUCCGGAUUUACCGGGUGUAAAGGGGGCGUAGACGGCCGUGCAAGUCUGGAGUGAAAGGCGGGGGCUCAACCCCCGGACUGCUCUGGAAACUGUACGGCUGGAGUGCAGGAGAGGUAAGUGGAAUUCCUGGUGUAGCGGUGAAAUGCGUAGAGAUUAGGAGGAACACCAGUGGCGAAGGCGGCUUACUGGACUGUAACUGACGUUGAGGCACGAAAGCGUGGGGAGCAAACAGGAUUAGAUACACUAGUAGUC
rnacentral:rRNA from 1 species